rnacentral:lncRNA from 1 species
AAGAUAGGAUCGACCAAAGCUCAACCAAACCUCACCAUAAGUUAUCCAAGUUACUUAAGUAAAGAGGAGAAGUUACCUUGGCCUUUGUGAGUGGAUCAGACCGUUGGAAAGGAUAAGGGAGAGUCUUGGACAGGCUGGCACAGCUGGACACGGAAAAGCAAAAGGUUGAGCCAGCUAAUGAAGGCUCACACGCGCGGCUCACCUCAUUGGACAAGUUUGAAAUGGCCAUUGACUCCACAUGCUUACCUUAUCCUCUUAAGCUACGAAAACCCUAGUCUCUUCUCUUAUAAAGUUGUAAACACUCUCAUUAAUAGAAUCAAGAAAGUUUUGAGUCUUUCUCUUAGUCUUUAAUCUCAAUGGUUCCAUAUUAGACUCAUAAUCUCAUUUCAUACUCUAAUCUUCUCUAAAUCGAUUCUAGUCUUUCCUAAACACUCAGAUUACUCUAAACAUUACUAAAAAUCUCAGUAAGAAGCCUGAUUUGGAUACAUAAAGUGGUGGAGAAUCACCAGGAAGUUGAAUAAAUCUCAUAGGAGUUGGCAUGAAGAAGUUAUCCCACUUUCAAAUCAGUUGAUUCCAGUUUCCCAGUUUGGUAAUAGAACAGCUUCGUCGUCGUUCCAAUCAAACCACGAUGAAUCUCUCGGUAAGAAGCUUGAUUUGGAUACAUAAAGUGGUGGAGAAUCACCAGGAAGUUGAAUAAAUCUCAUAGGAGUUGGGAUGAAGAAGUUAUCCCACUUUCAAAUCAGGUGAUUCCAGUUUCCCAGUUUGGGAAUAGCACAGCUUCUUCGUCGUUCCAAUCAAACUAGGAUGAAUCUCUUUGUAAGUGUUGAGAUGAAGAGUGUCAAGUGAAGAAUGGAGAUGAGGGUUGAGUAGAAUGAAGAAGAGGAAGGAUAGGAAGGUUUGGGAGCUUUGGGAUCAGCCUGUCCGUACAAGGCCGUACAAGAUAGGAUCGACCAAAGCUCAACCAAACCUCACCAUAAGUUAUCCAAGUUACUUAAGUAAAGAGGAGAAGUUACCUUGGCCUUUGUGAGUGGAUCAGACCGUUGGAAAGGAUAAGGGAGAGUCUUGGACAGGCUGGCACAGCUGGACAUGGAAAAGCAAAAGGUUGAGCCAGCUAAUGAAGGCUCACACGCGCGGCUCACCUCAUUGGACAAGUUUGAAAUGGCCAUUGACUCCACAUGCUUACCUUAUCCUCUUAAGCUACGAAAACCCUAGUCUCUUCUCUUAUAAAGUUGUAAACACUCUCAUUAAUAGAAUCAAGAAAGUUUUGAGUCUUUCUCUUAGUCUUUAAUCUCAAUGGUUCCAUAUUAGACUCAUAAUCUCAUUUCAUACUCUAAUCUUCUCUAAAUCGAUUCUAGUCUUUCCUAAACACUCAGAUUACUCUAAACAUUACUAAAAAUCUCAUGGUAUCAGAGCCAGGUUCGUGAAAACCUGAGUUCGUGUUAGGCUCUUUGGAGAUUCAAGAUUGAAGCUUUAAAGAGUUUGGUUGGUGUUCUUGUGUUCUUGGGAAGUUCCGGGUAUUGUCCGAGUUCAAAGACUAGUUCUUAGUGUGUUGCUAAAGCUGUGAGGUUGAAGACCGAGGCAGUGAGUGUUCUUACAAGUCUCUUAACCCAAGAUCCAGUUUGUGAAGUCUAGAGAAGUCAUCGUUCAUCAUGGAAAGUGGUAUGAACAUGAACAUGAAGGUAGCGGUUUGCUUCAAAGGAACCAACUACUUGGUGUGGUCUCGGAUGGUGAGAACCACAGUGGGAAGCAAAGGGCUUUGGAAGCACAUCACGCCAGGAGAAGCUCCAAAGCUCAUCACCCAAGGAGAAACUGAAGGAGAAGCCGCAAGCAAAGCGGAAGAGAAGUGGCAUCAGGAGGACAUGUUGGUGAUGUCAGUGCUGCAUGCUUCACUUGAGCCGGCGAUUCUAGAUGCAUACAGCUACUGUGAAUCAGCUAAAAAGCUGUGGGAUACGUUGAAGAAGGUGUAUGGGAAUACAUCAAACCUAAGCCGUGUGUUUGAAGUGAAGCAGGCUAUAAACAACUUGGUACAAGAGGAUAUGGAGUUCACCAAGCAUCUAGGGAGGUUCAGAACACUCUGGUCCGAGCUGGAGAUGUUGAGGCCAAGUACUACAGAUGCAGAUGAGCUCAACAAAAGAAGAGAGCAAGAUAAGGUCUUUGGGCUACUCCUCACCAUGAAUCCGGCUUACAAUGGUCUUAUCCAACACUUGCUUAGAGAGGACACACUACCUGAUCUUGAAGAAGUGUGCGCAAGGAUUCAGAAGGAACAAGGCUCUAUUGGAUUGUUUGGAAAGAAAGGAGAGCUAUCUCUCGUGAAUCAAGCAACUCAAGAGGAGGGAGGGGAAGCUCCACAAGCACACAAGGCUGCGCAUGGGAAGUAUGAUGAGAGGAGGUUCAAUGGGAACUGUGAUCACUGCAAGAAGCAUGGCCACAAGAAGAGCCAAUGCUGGAUACUCCAUCCCCAUCUCAAGCCAGCAAAGUUUAUGAAGGACAGAGAGGCAAGGGCUAAUGUCUCAGAUGGAGCAAGCGCAAGUGGAGCAGGUACUAGCAAAGGGAAGGAGAUAGAUGGGCGUGAAACAGGUGAUGGGAGGUCUCUUGUAGCCUACACUGGAGCCCCAAGCAACCGUGGGAACUAUGAUCAAGAGUAUCUAAGGAAAUCCGACCUGGAUGCUCUCAUUAAGCUCUUCAAGGAGCAUGGUAACAUUUUUGGGUAUUCCUUUGGGGCUAGGGCUAUAGGGAAUGAUGAGAAUUCAACUAGAAUUGAUAGGAUGCAUGAAAGUGUGAUAGAGAUAAUCAACCAAUCUAGAACGGCUAGUCUUGCUAGGAAUGAUCAUGCAUUCAAACCAUCUAGUAUCCUUGCUCAUAUUGCUAGUUCACAUGCCAUUAAGCCUUUAGUAGUUGAUUCUGGUGCAUCUCAUCAUAUGAUAAGUGACACUAGUUUGAUUAAAAACAUUGUACCAAUGAAUGGAAAUGUGAUGAUAGCUAAUGGAGAUAAGAUACCUAUUAGAGGAAUAGGAAGUCUUAAACUGUUUGAUAAGGAAACUAAAGCUUUUUAUAUGCCUGAAUUUACUUCAAACUUGUUAUCUGUUAAGAAAUGUGCUACUGAUUUGCAAUGUAAUGUCAUAUUCAGUCCUAAUGAUGUGAAGUUUCAGGAUAUUAAAAGCAGCAAAAUGAUUGGAAAGGGAGUGACUAAAGGAGAAUUGUAUUUACUUGAAGAUCUUGCUCCUGUUUCUAGUUAUAGCUGCUCGUUUAUGUCUGUUUCCGGUUCUAGUUUAAGUAAAAAUGCAUUGUGGCAUGCUAGAUUAGGACACCCUCAUAAUAAGGCUUUAAAACUGAUGUUGCCAGGUGUUUCCUUUGAGAAUAAUGAUUGUGAAGCUUGUAUUUUAGGCAAGCAUUGUAAGACUGUCUUUACUAAAUCUACUACGGUUUAUGAGAAGUGUUUUGAUUUGAUUCAUUCUGAUGUUUGGACUGCUCCUUGCUUAUCUAGAGACAAUCAAAAGUAUUAUGUAACCUUCAUUGAUGAAAAAUCCAAAUACACCUAGUUAACCUUAAUUCCAACCAAAGAUAGGGUACUUGAUGCAUUUAAGAACUUUCAAUCAUAUGUGACUAACCAUUAUAAUACCAAGAUAAAGAUUUUCAGGUCAGAUAAUGGAGGAGAGUACACGGGACAAGCAUUCAAGCUUCACCUAUCUCAGCAUGGAAUCCUACAUCAGACAAGCUGUCCCUAUACCCCACAACAGAAUGGUGUGGCUGAGAGAAAGAAUAGGCAUCUGAUGGAAGUGGCCAGGUCCAUGAUGUUUCAAACCAAUGUACCCAAGAGGUUCUGGAGUGAUGCAGUCACUACAGCUUGUUAUCUCAUCAACAGAACACCAACUCUGAUCCUGCAAGGGUUAUCACCAUUUGAGGUAUUGAACCGAUACAAGCCCUCAUUGGAACAUAUGAAGAUCUUUCGGUGUUUGUGUUUUGUGAUGGUACCGGGAGAAUUAAGAAACAAGCUUGAAGCUAGGAGCUCCAAGGCAAUGUUUGUUGGAUACUCAUCAAGUCAGAAAGGAUACAAGUGCUAUGAUCCUAACACAAGGAGAGUGUUAGUAUCUAGAGAAGUGAAGUUUGUGGAAGAAAAAGGAUAUUAUGAGGAGCAGAUUCAAGAAGAUUUGAAAGAUCUCACUUCAGAUAGAGCUGCAACCUUGAGGAUAAUACUAGAAGGACUUGGAAUCAAUAUGGAUCAAGAACAGCAAGAAGUAAGAGGCACUACACCAAUACCGAAUCAUCAGACGUCCAAUCUUGAACAUGAGGGGGGGAAUGGAACAGAAACUCAAACUCAAAGUCAUGAAGAGAGUUCUGGUUCUCAUGAUCAAGCUGUGGAGUCAAAUGAUCAACAAGAAGGAGCUGAAGCAAGUCAGCUAAGGGAUGAAGGAGCUGAAGCAAGUCAGCCAAGAGAAGAAAGUACACAAGAAGGUGUACAAGACAUGGAGUUACCGGCACAAGAAGGGCCAGUGUUGAGAAGAAGUACAAGGCUGAGAAAGGAUCCUUCCAGUUGGGUAAACACGAGAGUGUACUACAAUGCUCAAGCUGUGAAGCAUCCUACUCAGGCCGUGUGCUCUUUCUCUCAAUAUCCAGAAGCACAUGGUGCAUUCAUGGUAAACUUAGAUGAGAAUCACAUUCCAAGAAGCUAUGAAGAGGCAAUGGAGGAUAAGGAAUGGAAGGAAUCAGUAGGGGCUGAGGCAGGAGCUAUGAUAAAGAAUGAUACAUGGUUUGAAAGUGAACUACCAAAAGGGAAGAAGGCAGUAUCUAGUAAAUGGAUCUUCACAAUCAAAUACAAAGCUGAUGGACAGAUUGAGAGGAAGAAGACUAGAUUAGUAGCAAGAGGGUUCACUCAAACAUAUGGAUAGGAUUACAUUGAGACAUUUGCACCAGUAGCCAAGUUACACACCAUUAGAAUUGUACUAAGCUUGGCGGUUAACCUUGGAUGGGGAUUGUGGCAAAUGGAUGUGAAGAAUGCAUUCUUACAAGGAGAACUUGAGGAUGAAGUCUACAUGUAUCCUCCACCAGGUCUUGAACAUCUAGUGAAGAGAGGGAAUGUACUGAGGCUAAAGAAGGCUAUCUAUGGGUUGAAGCAAUCACCAAGAGCAUGGUACAACAAGUUGAGCACAACUCUGAACAGCCGAGGUUUUAAGAAGUCUGAAUUGGACCAUACUCUCUUUACAUUCACUACUCCCUCAGGUAUGGUUGCUCUCCUUGUGUAUGUGGAUGAUAUCAUUAUCACAGGAAGUGAUAAGGAAGGUAUCAAAGCAACCAAGGAGUUUCUAAAGUCUAUGUUUGAAAUAAAAGACUUGGGAGAAAUGAAAUACUUUCUUGGAAUUGAGAUUUGUAGAUCCAAGGAAGGUUUGUUCAUGUCCCAAAGGAAGUAUACACUUGAUCUUUUGAAAGGUGCAGGUGCUUAUGGAGGCAAGACAGCAAGGAUGCCAAUGGAAGAUGGCUACAAAGUACCAAGAGAGGGGGAGAUUGAAGACAGCAAGCCAUUUCAUGAUCCUAAACUCUAUAGAAAACUUGUUGGCAAAAGUAUUUAUCUAACCAUCACAAGACCUGAUAUAUGCUUUGCUGUGAAUCAGGUGAGUCAACACAUGCAGCUUCCCAAGGAACAUCAUUGGCGUAUGGUGGAGAGGCUGCUGAUGUAUCUAAAUGGCUCGCCGGAUCAAGGUGUAUGGAUGGGGUGCAAUGGAAGCACAGAAGUGGUGGGCUAUUGUGAUGCUGAUUGGGCAGGUGAUAGAGCUGACAGAAGAUCAACAACCGGCUAUUGCACAUUCAUUGGAGGCAACUUGGUGACUUGGAAGAGUAAGAAACAGAAGGUGGUGUCAUGCUCUAGUGCAGAAGCUGAAUAUAGAGCCAUGCUGAAGCUUACAAACGAGCUAGUUUGGAUCAAGGGCAUCUUGAAGCAUUUGGAGAUAGCACAAGACACUCCAAUGACAAUGCAUUGUGACAACCAGGCCGCCAUUCACAUAGCCUCCAACUCGGUGUUCCAUGAGAGAACAAAGCACAUUGAGGUUGAUUGCCACAAGGUGAGGCAGAUGAUUGUCCUAGGAGUCAUCUUGCCAUGUUAUACUAGGAGUGAAGAUCAGUUGGCUGAUGUAUUCACCAAGGCUGCAAGGCAAAAGACAAUGGAGUCCAUUCAUAUCAGAUUGGGCCUCAUUGAUCUUGGGAAGAGAAGCAGCUGAUCCCCUUAGUCAUGAGAUCUUUACUCUUUUUCCCUCAUUAAGGUUUUGUCCCAAUGGGUUUUCCUUAGUGAGGUUUUUAAUGAGGAAGAUCUCAUGGCUGUCCAAGCUUAGUCUUUCACAAAGCUAAGCUUGAGGGGGAGUGUUGAGAUGAAGAGUGUCAAGUGAAGAAUGGAGAUGAGGGUUGAGUAGAAUGAAGAAGAGGAAGGAUAGGAAGGUUUGGGAGCUUUGGGAUCAGCCUGUCCGUACAAGGCCGUACAUGGCCGUACAUGACAGGACAGGCCGUACAAGAUAGGAUCGACCAAAGCUCAACCAAACCUCACCAUAAGUUAUCCAAGUUACUUAAGUAAAGAGGAGAAGUUACCUUGGCCUUUGUGAGUGGAUCAGACCGUUGGAAAGGAUAAGGGAGAGUCUUGGACAGGCUGGCACAGCUGGACACGGAAAACCAAAAGGUUGAGCCAGCUAAUGAAGGCUCACACGCGCGGCUCACCUCAUUGGACAAGUUUGAAAUGGCCAUUGACUCCACAUGCUUACCUUAUCCUCUUAAGCUACGAAAACCCUAGUCUCUUCUCUUAUAAAGUUGUAAACACUC